rfam:Neotoma lepida isolate 417 scaffold_606, whole genome shotgun sequence.
UGGCUCAGAGGUUAAGAGCACUGGUUGCUCUUCCAGAGGUCCUGAGUUCAAUUCUCAG